rnacentral:rRNA from 1 species
UUUAACGGCCGCGGUAUCCUAACCGUGCAAAGGUAGCGUAANCACUUGUCCUCUAAAUAAGGACCAGUAUGAACGGCUAAAUGAGGGCUGACCUGUCUCCCAAGGCCAAUCAGUGAAACUGAUCUACCAGUACAAAAGCUGGUAUAACAACAUAAGACGAGAAGACCCUGUGGAGCUUUAAAUCCAACCCAAGGCUUAUACUAAAAACCAACCAAAUGGGCUAAGAUUUUAAGUUGGGGCGACUUCGGAAUAAAACAAAACUCCCGAANAUAAAGAAAAUUACUCUAACUGAGGCCUACACGCCAAAGCAAAUAUUGACCCAGUAUUACUGAUCAACGAACCAAGUUACCCCAGGGAUAACAGCGCCAUCUUCUUCAAGAGUCCAUAUCGACAAGAAGGUUUACGACCUCGAUGUUGGAUCAGGACAUNCUAAUGGUGCAG